rnacentral:rRNA from 1 species
UACGAAGGGGGCUAGCGUUGUUCGGAAUUACUGGGCGUAAAGGGCGCGUAGGCGGCCUUCUAAGUCGAACGUGAAAUCCCCGGGCUCAACCCGGGAACUGCGUCCGAUACUGGAAGGCUUGAAUCCGGGAGAGGGAUGCGGAAUUCCAGGUGUAGCGGUGAAAUGACGUUAGAUAUCUGGAGGAACACCGGGUGGCGAAGGCGGCAUCCUGGACCGGUAUUGACGCUGAGGCGCGAAAGCCAGGG